GCGUAAAAGGUGUAGAAGAGACAGGUGAAUCAUCGAAUCUUUGAACGCACAUUGCGCCCCCUGGCAUUCCGGGGGGCAUGCCUGUUCGAGCGUCAUUUAUACCAAUCUAGCCUGGCUAGGUGUUGGGCUUCGCCGGCUGGCGGGCCUUAAAACUAGUGGCGGUGCUCUUCGGCUCUACGCGUAGUAAUUUUCUCGCUAUAGGGUCCUGGGAGAUGCUGGCCAGCAACCCCAAAUUUUUCUAGGUUGACCUCGGAUCAGGUAGGGAUACCCGCUGAACUUAAGCAUAUCAAUAAGCGGAGG
rnacentral:misc_RNA from 1 species